CCUACGGGAGGCAGCAGUGAGGAAUAUUGGUCAAUGGGCGGGAGCCUGAACCAGCCAAGUCGCGUGAGGGAAGACGGUCCUAUGGAUUGUAAACCUCUUUAGGCGGGGGGCAAUGCCGGGCACGCGUGCCCGGAGGGAGAGUACCCGCAGAAUAAGCCUCGGCUAACUCCGUGCCAGCAGCCGCGGUAAUAGGGAGGAUGGGGGCGUUAUCCGGAUUUAUGGGGUUUAAUGGGUGCGUAGGCGGAUUUUUAAGUCAGCGGUAAAAUGUCCGGGUCAAACCCGGGCCGGCCGUUGAAACUGGGGAUCUUGAGUGGGCGAGAAGUAUGCGGAAUGCGUGGUGUAGCGGUGAAAUGCAUAGAUAUCACGCAGAACUCCGAUUGCGAAGGCAGCAUACCGGCGCCCGACUGACGCUGAGGCACGAAAGCGUGGGGAUCGAACAGGAUUAGAUACCCCUGUAGUC
rnacentral:rRNA from 1 species